UACGAAGGGGCUAGCGUUGUUCGGAAUUACUGGGCGUAAAGCGCACGUAGGCGGAUAUUUAAGUCAGGGGUGAAAUCCCAGAGCUCAACUCUGGAACUGCCUUUGAUACUGGGUAUCUUGAGUAUGGAAGAGGUGAGUGGAAUUCCGAGUGUAGAGGUGAAAUUCGUAGAUAUUCGGAGGAACACCAGUGGCGAAGGCGGCUCACUGGUCCAUUACUGACGCUGAGGUGCGAAAGCGUGGGGAGCAAACAGG
rnacentral:rRNA from 1 species